rnacentral:rRNA from 1 species
GUGGGGAAUAUUGCACAAUGGGCGCAAGCCUGAUGCAGCAACGCCGCGUGAGGGACGACGGCCUUCGGGUUGUAAACCUCUUUUAGCAGGGAAGAAGCGAAAGUGACGGUACCUGCAGAAAAAGCACCGGCUAACUACGUGCCAGCAGCCGCGGUAAUACGUAGGGUGCAAGCGUUGUCCGGAAUUAUUGGGCGUAAAGAGCUCGUAGGCGGUUUGUCGCGUCUGCUGUGAAAACGCAAGGCUCAACCUUGCGCCUGCAGUGGGUACGGGCAGACUAGAGUGCGGUAGGGGAGAUUGGAAUUCCUGGUGUAGCGGUGGAAUGCGCAGAUAUCAGGAGGAACACCGAUGGCGAAGGCAGAUCUCUGGGCCGUUACUGACGCUGAGGAGCGAAAGCGUGGGGAGCGAACAGGAUUAGAUACCCUUGUAGUCC